ACCCGAGACUCAGUGAAAUUGAACUCGCUGUGAAGAUGCAGUGUACCCGCGGCAAGACGGAAAGACCCCGUGAACCUUUACUAUAGCUUGACACUGAACAUUGAGCCUUGAUGUGUAGGAUAGGUGGGAGGCUUUGAAGUGUGGACGCCAGUCUGCAUGGAGCCGGCCUUGAAAUACCACCCUUUAAUGUUUGAUGUUCUAACGUUGGCCCCUGAUCGGGGUUGCGGACAGUGUCUGGU
rnacentral:rRNA from 1 species